AUGACAUGGGCACCACCGACUGAUCUUGCCACUGACAUGGAGACCAUGGAGCUACAAAGAAGAAAAGAACAUCGAUGGAGGAGUCACAAGUGCCAUGGUCAUCAUCCGUUGCCACAUCGAGCAGGUGACUCCGACUUCACCAUAGAGCACCACCACCAGAACCAUCCCGCUAGCAGCAACACCAAGGCCAUGCUAGCCCAUGCUAACAGAAGAUCACAUGUAACAACAACUGCCAUCUCCAACUUUGAGGACGAGCACCACAAGGGAGAUAUGCAGGGCUUGUGCCGAUCGAGCCCUCUGCAAACGACCAUUGAGCGCCAGUCAUCAUCACCACCUGGAAGCAAUCCACAGCAGCCCCGACUUUAUAGCAACCAAGCAAACCAUGAAGAACCCAUCGGACAUGCCUUGAAGAACCAACUACCAAUGUGCGAGCUAUGA
rnacentral:rRNA from 1 species